UACGAAGGGGGCUAGCGUUGCUCGGAAUCACUGGGCGUAAAGCGCACGUAGGCGGCUUCUUAAGUCAGGGGUGAAAUCCUGGAGCUCAACUCCAGAACUGCCUUUGAUACUGGGAGGCUCGAGUCCGGGAGAGGUGAGUGGAACUGCGAGUGUAGAGGUGAAAUUCGUAGAUAUUCGCAAGAACACCAGUGGCGAAGGCGGCUCACUGGCCCGGUACUGACGCUGAGGUGCGGAAGCGUGGGGAGCAAACAGG
rnacentral:rRNA from 1 species